rnacentral:rRNA from 1 species
UACGUAGGGACCAAGCGUUGUUCGGAUUUACUGGGCGUAAAGGGCGCGUAGGCGGCGCGACAAGUCACUUGUGAAAUCUCUGGGCUUAACUCAGAACGGCCAAGUGAAACUGUUGUGCUAGAGUGCAGAAGGGGCAAUCGGAAUUCUCGGUGUAGCGGUGAAAUGCGUAGAUAUGACAUAGAACACCAAUUGCGAAGGCAGCUCGUUACACGAACAUUGACUCUGAGGCACGAAAGCGUGGGGAUCAAACAGG